AGGGGAAAUGGCACAAGAAACAGAAGCCUGGAAAAGAAGUGGAAUGAAUACAAAGCAAAGAAAGUGCAGAGAAAAAACUACUGAAGGCUCCUGCCCAUCCUAAACUACAAUGCAAACAAUGCUACACUUUUUGGAACAAUUUCACCUACUCUUGUUCAAAUCACAUGCAGAGAAACAUAUAGGCUAGGAGACACUUUUUAGGAUCUGUAUGUACUUAUUUCCUUCCCAAUCGCUUCUCAGAAAGCCAAUCCUUUCCUAAGAGGCAGUUUUCCUUAUUCUUCAGUCAGACAGGUGCUUGCCACAACGUUGGAGGUACUGAAACAGAACAAGCCAAGAUCCUAUUUCCUGGCAAAGGGAAAACAAAAUGAAAGGCACUGACAUGGGGCUUUGAGGACAGUUGAGAUCUUUCUUGUUUUGCUUGGGAAUUCUUGCUUGGCCCUGAUGGUUCACUUUCUUCUUCAGUUGCUUACAUGUAAACAAUUGCACAACCAGUCGUAAGACUGCUGAUCAGAACAGUUACACACACUUAGCACACAAGCAGUGCUGGGAUGAGACUGCUGAAAAUUAGAUCCACUUAUGACUGGCCCCACAGCUGGAUGCUAUAGGCCUUGUCUACACAAGGUUGCUUUUUUGGGUUCCCUCCCACGCAGUAUGACUACAGGCUCUAAAAGAAACUGAUUUCUACUGAUAGGACUCUUCCUCACUUUGUGUCACAUCCUCUCUCUUCAUCGCUCCAGCUGUGAAUGAACUCAUGCACAAGGCAUCAACAAUCUUAGCAUUUAGAUACACUCAGCAACUGAUAUUAAAAAUCAUUUUGAAUCUACAGCAUUUAAUCUCAUUCUACAUUUAAAUCAGCUUGGAACUACACAAUUUAAUUGCCUUCAAUCAAUUUUUGCUUUUCUUUUCAGGCUGAGCACAUGGAAAAGAUACAUGAAUGCUUCACCUGGCAGCCAGCUUGUGGUUCCAGCACAGGGAUCCAUUGUGACUUCAUUAGGACUUCAAAUAAAUGUUAACAGUGUGCUGGUGUGAGCCAUUAAUUUCAACAAAGCUACAGAUUUACACUUGUAAAGGAGAAGAGGACUGAUGCUGUCAGUGGUAAUGAUAUACAGUGAAGAAAGGUAAACCUUCUUUGUUCUGAAACUGGCUCCAGAAAACUGCCGCUCUAAAUGUAUACUUUAAACCUGAGAUUACUGUGGUUUAUCACUGGGUAAAGUUGCUUAAAUAUUUAAAAUGGCCUCUGCCAAGCAAAACAGGAUGCAUAAAAGACCCUAUCUUGUUUCGGGUGACUGGAAUUUCUUUUCUUUUGGUGCUGUCUGUCUGUUUAUUUGUUUGGAAAAAAAAAAUUUUUGAAACAGCUAACCUGGAGAGGGUAUAGCCCAGCAGGGAGAUCUCUUCUUCCAGCUGAUGUAAC
rnacentral:lncRNA from 1 species